GCCGCUCGCCGCUGGCAUGGAGACCGCGCGGGCCGCCGCCGCUGCGGGCUGCCGGGCCGGGCCAGGGGCAGGCAGCCCGCGGAAGGUCUCUUUUGGCUACAGCAACUGGAUAACUCACCCAGAGUCAGUCGCCUGGAGGUAACCAAAGCCGGCUGCUUAAAGCGCCCUGCAUCGACCAGACCCAGGGGACUUCGUUACUUGAUGCUUCCCAGGUAACUCAGGCCCCGCUUAGCAGCAAAAUCCAGCUUCAGCGCAGCCAGUCCAGUCAACAGCUGGGCCCGGGCCUGGACUGCCGACUUCCAAGAUCUCACUGGAUAAUUGAAGCCUCUCCCUCCUUUGCAGAAGCAGAAACACCCAAAGUUGGCGAAUUAAAAUCUCUGAAAAUCUCUGAGCUGUUUAACAAGCCAGGAUUUUGCCGAGCCCGCUGUUAGGCUGUCAACCUCUGCUUCAGUAGCAAUUUCUCCUUCCCGGAGAGCUGUUGCUGGCAAUGCAGUGGCCAGUGCAUUAAUCCUCAGCAAGAAGAAACAGUCUAGUGCUGUCAUCGUUCUGUAGCACAGGCCUUCCCAAAGUCCUGUGGUUGCACCGACGGAGGCACGGUGCUUACUGUAACACACAAGAGCUGGUGUGUCACCAGUGCCCUCUAUCGGGCACCAUUCUGCACAUGCUGAUUUACGCAUCAAACCCCAUCCCAAGGAGAUUCCCCUUCUCCUCCACGCACAGGAGUCCUAUCCCUACACAUGCCCAGGGAUUAGCCAGCGGAUCCAUCCCCGCACACGGGAGCAGGUAUUGCAGAGCACACGACAAGCAGAGUAAUGAAUGGCCGGGUGCCACUAGCUGAGAAAGCCUUAUCCGAAAGCUAUGCCAGGCUGCGAUACAGAGACACCUCACUGCUUAUCUGGCAGCAGCAGCAGCAGCAGCUGGAAUCCGGCCCCCCAGCUACCUAUUUAAGUCGGAGCCGGAGCAUGUGGUACUCGCAGUACGGCAAUGAAGCUAUCCUGGUACGGGACAAGAACAAGCUCGAUGUCUCCAGAGAUACCGGGCAGUCCAAGUUUUGCACGGUUAUGUAACUGGGGUGGCUUAAUGCCAGAUACCUGUAGGCAGCGAACACGUGAAGGAGCCCGCUAGAAGCCUUAGGCACGUUUUCUUCAAAUUAACAAAAAAA